CAACCAAUCAGAAAGUCGCUAAGAUCUAACCUGGAGAAAUGGAUCAAUGCGCAUUAUAAUGCGCAUAUUAUCCAGUCUACAGUUGAAAAUCGUAGUGAUAGGUCGUGUUCCAUUGUUAAAGGUGCAUAAUUACAUAAAAUUUAUAUUUAAUUUAUAAAAUAUAUUGUUACACGAUUAUUAAACUUAAAUUUUAUUACGAUUAUUAAAUUUUAUAUAAUUAAUACGAAUUUGUUUAAUCAUAAUCGUUUGUGUAAUCAUGAUUUUAAAUUUUAUAAUUAUCGUUCAAUUGAAACUUCGAAGACAGAAUAACUCUAAAAGUGUAAUAGUUUUUGUUCAAGAAAUAAUAAGAUGAUUUUCAAAUAUAUGAUUUGCAAAUAUAAUAAAUAACCGAUUGCUGAUUAAGUUCGAAAAAGGGAUUUUCAAUAUGUUUUAAGAGAAAGAGAAGUAAAGCUUAAAUUUCUAUAUAGAAA